rnacentral:rRNA from 1 species
AUACGGAGGAUCCGAGCGUUAUCCGGAUUUAUUGGGUUUAAAGGGUGCGCAGGCGGCCAUUUAAGUCAGCGGUUAAAUCGUGGGGCUCCACCCCAUUCUGCCGUUGAUACUGGGUGGCUUGAUUGCGGUCGAGGUUGGCGGAAUUCGUUGUGUAGCGGUGAAAUGCAUAGAUAUGACGAAGAACACCGAUUGCGUAGGCAGCUGACCAGACCGCAAAUGACGCUCAUGCACGAAAGUGCGGGGAUCGAACAGGAUUAGAUACCCUGGUAGUCCGCACAGUAAACGAUGAAUACUUGUUUUCGGCGAUAUAAUGUCGGAGGCAAAGCGAAAGCGAUAAGUAUUCCACCUGGGGAGUACGCCGGCAACGGUGAAACUCAAAGGAAUUGACGGG